UACAGAGGUCUCAAGCGUUGUUCGGAUUCAUUGGGCGUAAAGGGUGCGUAGGCGGCGCGGUAAGUGGGGUGUGAAAUUUCGGAGCUUAACUCCGAAACUGCAUUCCAUACUGCGGUGCUUGAGGACUGGAGAGGAGACUGGAAUUUACGGUGUAGCAGUGAAAUGCGUAGAGAUCGUAAGGAAGACCAGUGGCGAAGGCGGGGUCUCUGGACAGUUCCUGACACUGAGGCACGAAGGCCAGGGGAGCAAACGGG
rnacentral:rRNA from 1 species